CCGGCUUACCAACCCGAUGCAAACUGCGAAUACCGGAGAAUGUUAUCACGGGAGACACACGGCGGGUGCUAACGUCCGUCGUGAAGAGGGAAACAACCCAGACCGCCAGCUAAGGUCCCAAAGUCAUGGUUAAGUGGGAAACGAUGUGGGAAGGCCCAGACAGCCAGGAUGUUGGCUUAGAAGCAGCCAUCAUUUAAAGAAAGCGUAAUAGCUCACUGGUCGAGUCGGCCUGCGCGGAAGAUGUAACGGGGCUAAACCAUGCACCGAAGCUGCGGCAGCGACACUGUGUGUUGUUGGGUAGGGGAGCGUUCUGUAAGCCUGUGAAGGUGUGUCGUGAGGCAUGCUGGAGGUAUCAGAAGUGCGAAUGCU
rnacentral:rRNA from 1 species